ensembl:misc_RNA Metazoa_SRP Metazoan signal recognition particle RNA
UCUGGGCAUGAUGGUGCAAGCCUCUAACCUCUACUACUGAGGAGGCUGAAGCUGGUGGAUUGCUUGAGCUUGGGAGUUCUGAGCUGCAAUCGACUAAAGCUGACUGGGUGUCCACAGUAAGUCCAAUACCACUACAACGAGCCUCCAAGAUCAGAGAGUCAUCAGGCUGCCUAAGAAGGGGUGAAUUGGCCCAGGUAGAAAACGCAACAGGUCAAAGCUGCCAUAUUAGUCAGAAGUGCAAUGAAGAUCAUGAGUGUCUGCUCUACUUUAGCCUAAGUGAGACUGGAAGACCAAGUCCAAA